AGACGAGUGCGACAGGUAACUUGAUUUAGAGUUACAAAGCUGCUUUCCUCAGGGGUCCUGCAUUGCUGGAACCCAGGGAGAAGGGGAUAAGCUGUGGCUAACACGCGGCUUCAGAUCCGGAUCUCGCACUGAUAUCAGUUAGGAAUUUGCAGCCCCGGUGGAAAAUCCGGACCCAGGUCUUAUCCGGAUCUUUAAAGGCACCUGGCUGUGCCUGUGGCGGUGGUGGCUAAUGUGUGGGUGACUGACUUCAGUUCAGAGAGUGAGUUAUCACCGAUCACAUUUUCGGUUUGCACCGGGAUUUAACGAAAGUGGAAACUCAAAUAGGAAGCUGCGUCCUUCUCUGAAUUUCCCCAGGGAAAGGACACCAAUUUGCCGAGCGCCACGCAAGAGAAGCGGCAGAAAUGAAGCCCAUUCUCCAGCUGAAGUAUGGAGAGAAGAGCAGGAAGAAGCCUGAACAGGUGAUUAGUGGAAACCUGAGCAGUAUCUCCUUGAUAUAACUUUCCUGGUGAUUCUUCUGAUUCCAAAUAUUGCACUCUCUUGUAAGAACAGAAACUUAAAUAUGACAGAAGUAAUGAAUGAUUUCCAGUACAUCAUAUCUCAAGAUUUUGAGGAUUUGAAAGCACUUUUGGAUUCUAAGGUUUAUAAUAUCAGUUACAUCGAGCCACAAAGAUCAAAACAUUCUCUUUGCUCUGAUGGAAGGGAAAUUGACUCAAUCCAUCACAUGACAUGCUCUACUGUUUCUAUUACCAACAAAUUUAAUUUUGAUUUUACUCCGGAAAUAAUGGCCUUAUCCAGGAAAACUGAAGGAGUGCUAAAAUGCCAUUGCAAAAGACAAAAGCAUCAGAAAACUAAUAUCAGAAAAUCAAAGACUCCAACCAACGUCAUCCCUCGGAGAAAGACAAAAUCAGCACAAAAGAAGUUCCUAAGAAUUAAAAAUAAAAUUUCAGAUUUAUAUUUAUGCUGGAAGAAAAUGUAUAAAUUCACAAGAUGAUUAAUCCAUUAUAAUUUUAAUAUUUGUAUUAAUUGAGGAAAUACCUUUGCAACUAAAGCAUCUGUUCUGAUGGCUUUGUUGAAUUUGGGUUCAUGAUGCACGAUAGCAUUGCAGGUUUGAAUUGAAUGCAUUUGUGUAAUCUAUGUUGUGUCAUUCAUUGUGGUAAUUGCAACCACAUCAGACUUUCUGAGGAAGAAUUAAAUCAAGGCCUCAUCUGUUCUUAAAGCUGGGCGUGUAAAUCUCCUGGUUCUUAUCCAAAGACAAUUGGGGAAGUUCUUUUAUUGCCUUGUUGCAGCUUUGGGGAGAUUAGCAGUCACAAAUUGGCUGCCAAUUUACUCUAAAUUCCGACAAUGAUUUAACUCAUUGAUGAAGCACAUUAGGACAUCUUUGUGUUAUUAAAGAUUCCAUAUGAAUGUGUUCUUCCCUACCUUGCAAUGCUAAUUUUGGUAGUUUGCAUAAGGUAUGUGUUAUGAGGAGAAAGAAUAUAUUUUUUUAUUUACUUAUUGAAAGUACACUUUCACAACCUCUGUUUUCUUUUAAAAUGAAUCUUAAAACUUGCACCUUUGACCUGAAUUAAUGUGAGAUUCUUUAACAAUAGAAGUGGAUGAUGAUGCAUAAUGUGCAUUUUUUUUUACAUUUUAAGGGGGAAGCAACUUGUUAAAAUUUUCUAGGCUAUUUCUCACUGUGAUUGUUUUGUGUUACAAAAGAACUGCACUUAUAACCCCUUUUAUUUUUGCACAGUGCAGGUAGAUUACAUUGGGUCCAUUUGACAAUUCUCAAGUACUUCAAACCAGUUAUAUCUUUGAAACUAGCACUGAAGAAGAGGUCUGUUUUUUAAAAAAGCUGAUCAUCUUGGGGAGAGAUUUCUGCUCUGCAGAAUGCAGAAAUAAAACAAGGUCAAACUACAUUCUUAAAGACCACUUCAUCUUCCUGUCAGUCCCUGAUUUCCUUUGUCCAGAGGGGAAAUUUUGUAUUUGAACAGUUUCCUGGUGCAGCUUCAACCUUUAUCAUUCUAUGUAAUUCCUGGGAAUUUCUGACUGCCUUAGGAAACCACAACAAGGAUUUUGCUGUAAUAACCUUUGCUAAGAAGAUUAAGUCUGAAUUCAGCUUCAGAUCAGGGCAAGCAGGAGAAUGUUCUUGGUGGGAAGAUGUUCACGUUCAGAAGGUGAUUCAGUCUGAUGCGGCUGAGGCCAAGUCUGAGGGAGUUUAAAGGGCUCAAAUAUAAAGAAGUGAAAGCGUUGCACAGUUUUGAAAAGCUCUGGUGUUCAAUAUGGUCUGGGCACCACAUUUUAAAAACUGGUGUAUUAGUCUUAGAAUGCAAAGAUGUUGUCAGGUCUCAAAUUGUUACCAAUGAGGAAAGGUUCCAUUACUUUCCAUAUUUCUGUUACCACACCUAGUUUAAAUGUGAUUUGAUGACAAAGAGUAAACAGUUGACUUAUUUUGGGCUGGACUGAUCCAGACUGAUGAACGGUCAAGGCCCUGAAUGUCAACUAUUUACUCUUUCCAUAGGUGCUGCCUGGCCAGCUGAGUUCCUCCAGCAUUUUAGAAACAUAGAAAAUAGGUGCAGGAGUAGGCCAUUCGGCCCUUCGAGCCUGCACCGCCAUUUAUUAUGAUCAUGGCUGAUCAUCCAACUCAGAACCCCGCCCCAGCCUUCCCUCCAUACUCCCUGAUCCCCGUAGCCACAAGGGCCAUAUCUAACUCCCUCUUAAAUAUAACCAAUGAACUGGCCUCAACUGUUUCCUGUGGCAGAGAAUACUACAGAUUCACCACUCUCUGUGUGAAGAAGUUUUUCCUAAUCUCGGUCCUAAAAGGCUUCCCCUUUAUCCUCAAGCUGUGACCCCUUGUUCUGGACUUCCCCAACAUCGGGAACAAUCUUCCUGCAUCUAGCCUAUCCAAUCCCUUUAGGAUUUUAUACGUUUCAAUCAGAUCCCCCCUCAAUCUUCUAAAUUCCAAUGAGUACAAGCCCAGUUCAUCCAGUCUUUCUUCAUAUGGAAGUCCUGCCAUCCCAGGAAUCAAUCUGGUGAACCUUCUUUGUACUCCCUCUAUGGCAAGGAUGUCUUUCCUCAGAUUAGGGGACUAAAACUGCACAAAAUACUCCAGGUGUGGUCUCACCAAGGCCUUGUACAACUGCAGUAGUACCUCCCUGCUCCUGUACUCGAAUCCUCUCGCUAUAAAUGCCAGCAUACCAUUCGCCUUUUUCACCGCCUGCUGUACCUGCAUGCCCACUUUCAAUGACUGGUGUAUAAUGACACCCAGGUCUCGUUGCACCUCCCCUUUUCCUAAUCGGCCACCAUUCAGAUAAUAAUCUGUUUUCCUAUGGUUAAUAAUUUUCAAACGAGGCGAUAAGACUACUGCAAGAAUGGGUUAAGGAUGUCUUGCUGCGGCUGCAGAGGGUCUUGAUAAGGUAACAUCUGGAGCUUUGUUUUGUAGUUCUGUUCUCCUUAUCUGAAGUCCUUGCCUUAGAAAAAGUGCAAUAAAGGUUUAAUGGAUGGCAGGACUGAUGUUUAACCAGAGAUUGUGUAAGUUUGAGAAUAGCUGAAUAAGAAGAGAUCACAUUUAAAAAUAUAUGUAAAUUCAGCAUAAACAGACCUGAUACAAGGAGGAUGUUCUGGGUAGCUUGAGUUCUCACUGCCUUGGGAAAUUGGCUAGACAAUUUCUAAUUACCAUCAUGAGUCAUUUAUUCACCAAGAGUGUGGUGAACCUGUGCAAUUCUCUCUCAAGAAGCCAGUGGAGGUCAAGGUAUUCAGUAUAUUCAAGAAGAAUAUAUAAUAUAUUUAAUAUAUAUUAGUUAAAUGGGUAGGGGGAGAAGGUGGGAACAAAACACUGAAGAGAUUGUAUUGAAUGUUUGUGAAGAUCUGAAGGGUAAAUGGCCCAUUCCUGCUAUUUUCUGUUCCUACAAACUGAUUUGGAGAUGAGGCAUGUGAGUGGAAUCAAGUUCAGGACCAGUCAGUCUUGCUGAGUGACAGGACUGGCAUAGCAGGCUAUUCUCGUUCCUCUGUGUUUUGCUUUCAAUGAACCAACGGCUUCCAGACAUGCGUGUUGAGAUCAAAGAUCUGAAAAAUAUUAAUCUCAGUCUUUAUCUGUAACUGAAAUUCAGUUUUUUUUUCCUGUGCUAAUCUCUCCACUUACACUUCCUGCUCAGUUGCUGCAUUGGCAUGAGAACAAUAUUGAACUAUAAGCACACCAUUUCGGAACAUCAAAACAAAGUUUUUCACUGUACCUUUGUACAAGUGACACAAAUAGACCAACUUGCCAAUAGGAUAAUGCCAAUGGGUACUAAUCUGCAGGCAGGAAUACAAUGUUCUGAUUAUCUCCUUUGAAAUUUAAUACAAAUUUUUGUGUGUUAGAUUAACUUUGCCUUAAAGUGAUAUUCUUUUGAUAUAGAAGAAGUGCAGCUCAGAAGAUUGACACAAGAUUGCUGGAUUAGAUCAAAAGAUUUAAUAUUCUGGGUUUGUAAGGUAGUUGAGUACAGGCCAUCAGCUGAAUUCUUAAUAACAUUACUAAUGCUGGACAGCUACAGCAGAAAAAAGUGGAAACACACCCAUUUUCCAGAUUGCCAUCAGUUUAAAGGGGCUACAUCUAAAGCAAGGUCCUUUAUAAGAUUGUCUUUGGUCUGUCUUGCAGUGCGACAUUGCUAUUGUACCACUGUUGCAAUAAAAUUAGAACCUGCAGGCACUUUAGUUUUCUUUGAAAGUACUGGAUAUUUCACAAAUUAUUAAGAGUAUAUACAUUACACAUUAUGAAGGUGCAAUUUCCAGAAAUUUAAUUCUAUUGAUUUAUAUUGCUUAGGAUAUGAUUGAAUUUGAUCCUUUAUUCUUUAGACAUAAAGUAAUAUAAUAUGCUCUAAACAGGCUAUGUAUUGGCAGCCUGAUUUCCUCAUUGGUUUUCUUAUUAGCUGUCCUACAGUAAUCUAAGCAUACAACUUUAGUGGUUUCAUGGACUGCCAGUUACACUAAAGAGAAUAAUAUCUCACUUCUAGUCCUUGAGCAAUGGUCUGCCUUAUUGUACAAUUCUUCUCAAUAUGUGGUGAAUCUCUGGACACAUUUUGUUUCUUUGUGUGCAGAAUCACAUUAAUUAAUAAAAGUGCUCAUUCAGUGAUGGUAUUCAAAUUAGCAAGAAUGCUUUUACACAGGUCUGAAGUAAUUUGGUUAAUUUAGAAUUAUAUUUAAUUCAUGUUGUGGAUUACUGAGAGUUUUCUGUAUCAAUUACAGGAACAGUAUUAUAAAGUAUAUAUUUUGCGUAUGUGGAAUAUAUUUUGCCUUUUGUGUAAAUUAUUGUUGGGCAAGUAUAAUAUUGCCAUUUAUUCUUUUUAAGUGUUAGCACUUUUUAAGCAAUGCUUUAAACAUCUAUUUACUGAUCAGAAUAUUCCAUUUUUAUUUGCAACAUGAAUACCCUACGAUUCAUUUUAUAUGCUUGCAAUAAGAGAUUUUUAAUUGUACAUAAAUAAUCCACAUUUUUACAUUUAAUAUGGCUUUAUAUUUAAAAUGAAUAUUUUAUAUAUCUUCUGUCUCUUGUAAGAUUACGAAAUUGAUGGAUUUUUUUUGGAGAAUAAAACAAUCCUUUGAC